CCCAAGUUUUGCGGUUUCACAGCAUCCACUGCAGAGUUUAAAGCUUUGAACUCUGCAGUGGAUGCUGUGAAACCGCAAAACUUGGG